AACGCAAAUUGCACUGUUGGGUCCUCCCAGCAGUAUGUCUGUUUGAGUGUCAGCACUUUAUCAUAAUCAAUUUUGAAAAAAAUUGAACAUUGAUACUUUGUGUUUUUGCAACACAAUGUAUUUAAGUGCAUUGAUUCUUGAUUGAUUUAUUAUUAUUUUGUAAGGAAUAAUGGAUUUCAGUUGAAAAAACAUUUUUGCUUACAUGCAUUAAGCAAAAGCAAGAUUGGAUUUCAAUAAUUGGAUUUCAUAAAUACUAUUCUUUACACUUCAAAAAAUAAUGAUUUUCUUUCGCUUAAAAAGGAUCAACAAAAAAAGAUUUCCUUUUUUAACAUCUUGACCUCAAAUUAGGCAAGGCUACCCGCUGAAUUUAA
rnacentral:misc_RNA from 1 species